rnacentral:rRNA from 1 species
GAUGAACGCUGGCGGCGUGCCUAAUACAUGCAAGUCGAGCGAACGGACGAGAAGCUUGCUUCUCUGAUGUUAGCGGCGGACGGGUGAGUAACACGUGGAUAACCUACCUAUAAGACUGGGAUAACUUCGGGAAACCGGAGCUAAUACCGGAUAAUAUUUUGAACCGCAUGGUUCAAAAGUGAAAGACGGUCUUGCUGUCACUUAUAGAUGGAUCCGCGCUGCAUUAGCUAGUUGGUAAGGUAACGGCUUACCAAGGCAACGAUGCAUAGCCGACCUGAGAAGGUGAUCGGCCACACUGGAACUGAGACACGGUCCAGACUCCUACGGGAGGCAGCAGUAGGGAAUCUUCCGCAAUGGGCGAAAGCCUGACGGAGCAACGCCGCGUGAGUGAUAAAGGUCUUCGGAUCGUAAAACUCUGUUAUUAGGGAAGAACAUAUGUGUAAGUAACUGUGCACAUCUUGACGGUACCUAAUCAGAAAGCCACGGCUAACUACGUG